rnacentral:rRNA from 1 species
AAUAGAUACCCUGGUAGUCCAUGCCGUAAACGUUGGGAACUAGAUGUGGGGACCAUUCCACGGUCUCCGUGUCGCAGCUAACGCAUUAAGUUCCCCGCCUGGGGAGUACGGCCGCAAGGCUAAAACUCAAAGGAAUUGACGGGGGCCCGCACAAGCGGCGGAGCAUGCGGAUUAAUUCGAUGCAACGCGAAGAACCUUACCAAGGCUUGACAUAUACGAGAACGCCGUAGAAAUACGGAACUCUUUGGACACUCGUAUACAGGUGGUGCAUGGUUGUCGUCAGCUCGUGUCGUGAGAUGUUGGGUUAAGUCCCGCAACGAGCGCAACCCUCGUCGUAUGUUGCCAGCACGUAAUGGUGGGAACUCAUAUGAGACUGCCGGGGUCAACUCGGAGGAAGGUGGGGAUGAGGUCAAAUCAUCAUGCCCCUUAUGUCUUGGGCUUCACGCAUGCUACAAUGGCCGGUACAAAGGGCUGCAAUACCGCGAGGUGGAGCGAAUCCCAAAAAGCCGGUCUCAGUUCGGA